AGCAAGACUAAAAAGAGAAACCGCUUUCAAGUGCCUUUCUGCAGUUUUUCCAAGAGCGCAAGGUGGUUA
rfam:Anolis carolinensis chromosome 6, whole genome shotgun sequence.